UAGAGAAAGAAAAUGAUAGGUUAUAGAAUAAUAUAAAACUAUAUAUUCCAGGCAACUCAUCUAGCAGCUUAUAGACAUUUGAAACAACAAGAAGACUUUGGUUUUGCAGUUUUGGACAUUGCAAGAACUGCUGUAAUGGCGAUGUUAACGAGGAUUACCACUGUAUUGUCUAGGUUUGUCUGUUUUUCUCUAGGAAUUUGCCGUCUAGUAAAGCACUCGAAGCUACUACAACAUCACUUCACUGUGUCUCUUCUCUUCAGUCUCCAUUGCCAUCAUCACCAACAUGAGACCUCCCAAAGCAAAGCCUCAGGAUUCGUACAUUCGUGGCCGAGAGAAUCCAUACUUCGCUGGUCUGCUAAGAGGUAACGACACUGGCAGCCAGAAUAUUUCUCCGUCAACAUCAGACACUGGUGAUUUGAGAGGAACAAGUGUUUCAGAUAUUCCUGGAAAGUUUAAGGACUUGCCAGUAAAGGAUUCAGUCUCAGACAUUCUCGAACCCUUCGAGCAGACUACAUUUGGGACUUUGUUAAAAGUUCCUAGAUCAACAUCAUUCGAAUCCCAAAGUUCUCAAUCUGAUAUGAGUUUUGAUUUAGAUGGUUCAAAUCAUUUAGUGAAACAAUCCAGUCCUGGUACCUUUGAAACAACUGAAGAACACCAAGUUGUGCCUGUCCUACCAAGACCUAUGAUUGAAAAAUCAUUUGUUCUGAACAAAAGGAAAUCAAACCUGUCAAAUAUUCCACUUCCUCAGUCGGCCGCAACAUUUUAUAAUGGAUUUUCCCCACAAUUUGAGAUUUUGGAAUCAUGUGAAAGCACCAUGAAGCUAAAUUUAUACUUGAAAGCCAGAAAGGAUGAUGUGAGUGCUGGUGUUCCUGGAAAAUUCUUGCGUGCUGUAAUUGGUCAAGAUGUCUCAGACGUUGGAUCCAUCGCUUCGACCAUCAUGUAUGCUCUCUACUUGAAUGAGACAAUCAAAAGUGACCAGUUCUGCACUGUACCUAUCAUUAAUAUGAAGAGGACAGACCUAAGUUCUCAUGCAGAACUAAAAUGGUUGCUGGAUUCUUGUCAUAUUGAUGUGCCAUCCUUACUUUUCGUAGAUGAGAUUGAUCUGUCAUACUUUGAUCUGUUCGGGUGUCUCAAGCUAGUUCUAGUGAAUGGACACAAGCUCCCAGCAAGACAGGAGGCAUUAAAGGAAGCGGUCGUUGAAGUAUUCAAUUGCAGAAAGGAUGAAUCUGUGUAUCCUUGGGUUGAGACUGUUACUGUUGAUCAGGACUGCUCAUGCUGUAGCCUUAUUGCUGAAAAGUUAUUCCUGACUUCACCGGAGCUUUUGGCAGGGCAAAGAUUCAGUAAACUUUUGUUAGCUGGCAUCCUAAUGGAUACUGGAAACCUUACUAGUCCUCAUUGCACUACCAAAGACAAGUACAUGGCUACUUUGUUACUCAAUGGCGCUGGUCGCUUUGGAUCCAAUGGCCUUUAUCAAAUAAUGAGAUACAAAAUGUAUGAUAUCUCUGAUCUUAAAGUAGUUGACAUAUUGCGCAAGGAUUUUAAAAAGUGGACAAGAGGAGGUAAGCCAGGUCCUACUGGUUCAAGAUCAAUGGUGUCAAAUAUUGGGAUGAGUUCCAUUGGCAUAUCACUGGAGCAGUUUCUUGCUCAUGAACGUUCUUCGAAAGAAGAAAUCAAGAAUUUCCAGCAGUCGGAGAAGCUUCGGUUACUCAUGAUUGUAUCAGGAUAUUAUGAUGCUCAGAAGAACUUCAAGAGGGAGAUACUGGUCUCUGCUGAAUCUGUGGAGCUUAUGAGGAAUCUGCUAUCCUUCUUCAGUUCAAAUGCCUCCCAUCUGCCACUCAAAGCUAUGCAUGGACCAAGUCUCAGAGAUGACAUGAAGGCAUUUGAGAUUGACGAAGUUACCUCAAGAAAGACGAUCGAGCGUCUCUUGGAAGAAUUUGGUGGGGCAUCAAAAGGCUAACGUGGUUAGUGAACAAGAAGACAGCAAGAAUGCAGAUACAUAAUUGUCACUUCCAUGUGGAAAUACAUAAACAAACCAAUGGAGAAGCUUCUAAUAAAUUUAAAGAAAAGCAUCUGUCCAUGCCUGCAGAAUUCAAUAUGAAUUUCCCUUCUAAUGCAUGAUAAAUCAAGUCCUUAUAUUUUUGUUGGUUCCACUCUUCGAAUUCGAUAGAGCCUGUUUUCUCUUGCCAAUCUCACAUGCUUGUCACAGAUAUGAACCUGUUGUGAUAGAAUUGAAAUUAAGGAGACUUUUGCUGGCAAUGAUAUCUAUGUGGAUUGAAGCUGGCAGCAUAGAAAAAGAGGACGUAGCAGCAUUGAAAUUUUGCAGCAUGCUAGCAUCAGAAAAUGAUCUUUGCAACUUCUUUUGUGGGGACAUCGCCUGAGCAUAAUAUUCUUGGAGUCAACAUUCUUGGCUUCAUUACGCCAACCCAAAUUCAAAUCUUUAAAGUGAAAACCUCUGAAUUUUCUAGCAACCAACAACCAUGGUUUCAUUGUCAAUUGCAGCUGAAGAUCCUGAAUUUGUUUUUCCACAGCAUAAAUCUCAGUAAAUGGUGGGAAAAUGAUGAGAAGCAAGCAUUUCCAUGAUGUGGCAGAAUUCAAUUUGAAGUCAGAAGCAGAAGUGACAGGAUUAGGUUCUCUCACUUAUGAGUUCUGAAUUCUGAAGAGUUCUGAGUUCUGAGUCCGGAAGAAAUUCUGAGUUCUGACAAGAAUUAUCUAUCUUAGAUUAUGUCUUAGAUUAGGAUUAUUUUUAUUACUGUGGCAACUUUGUUUUUAAAACUCCAGUUAGAUUACAAUAUGAGACUAUAUAAAUAGCCAAGGUGUAUUGAACAUUCAUCAAGCAAUAAGCAAUAAGAAAAAUAUCGAACACCUUCAGAAA